rnacentral:rRNA from 1 species
UACGAGUGCCCCGAGCGUUAUCCGGAAUCAUUGGGCGUAAAGGGUGUGUAGGUGGUUGUGUUAGUCUUCUGCUAAAGCCCGGGGCUUAACCCCGGAGAGGCGGAGGAAACGGCACGACUAGAGGAUGGCAGGGAUGUAUGGAACUCAUGGAGUAGGGGUGAAAUCCGUUGAUAUCAUGGGGAACACCAAAAGCGAAGGCAGUACAUUGGGCCACUCCUGACACUGAAACACGAAAGCGUAGGUAGCGAAUGGG